GUGCUUGCUUCGGCAGCACAUAUACUAAAAUUGGAACGAUACAGAGAAGAUUAGCAUGGCCCCUGUACAAGAAUGACAUGCAAAUUCGUGAAGCGUUCCAUAUUUUU
rnacentral:snRNA from 1 species